rnacentral:lncRNA from 1 species
ACGUAAUUGCCUACAAAUCCGUUGACAAACUAAAUCCACUAAAAUCCAUUGCCAAACUGUAGAAAUGAAACUACUGGCCCUCUUUUGUAAGUAGCAUUUCAUUGUACAGUUUUCAUUAACUGAUCAAAUUGUAGAGUAAUCUUAUAUUUAUCCACCUCUAAGAAUUGACUCAGAUAAUAACUUCCCUGGACAUAUGUAACAUAAACAAAGGAUUUUAAUCAAUAUGACAUCCCUAAUGUUAAAUCCUAAUGGCGCACAAGAUGAAGCAUAGGAGAAGAACCUGCAACAAGGAAGCAACAGAUGGAUAAAAAUCCUAAAACAAAAUAGAAUGAAUGUCACUUGAUAAUUCAAACUAGAAUACCGAAUUAGCUCUUUGUUUCAAAAAAAAAAUAACCGAAUUAGCUCCGAUUCCAUCCAAACUUACUCAAACACAACAGAAUGCCCCAUUCAAUCUAGAGAGAACAAAUUCAACCUGGAAACCACAAUUAGCACUAAACCCAGAUAAAUUCACACUAAAUCAUACAAAACCCAUCUCACAGAGAUCUCAAAUCAUCAAUUAAUUUAAAUUAUGCAAAUGACAAUAAAUAAGGGAUGGCGCAUGGUGUUCAAAUGGGUGGAUGGCGGUGGCGCGGGAGAGACUCUUGCAGCCUUUGUUGUUGAUUGUCGCCCUCUCCAAUGGUAGAACAAAGAUUUGGCAGCCUGCAGCUGCAAGUGAAUUGUAUAAUGCCUGAACGCUGUGAAGGCAGAGGUAACGGGGAACUAGUGGUCACCCCUUUAAUUAUUAUUUUUAACAACCAACUAAAUGGACGGCGUCGUUUACUUGAGGACUGUUUUAAAUUUUUUAUUUAAUCACUAAAAGAACCGGCGUCGUUUCAUUUAGGGAUUUUUCAGAAAAGAAGAAAAGUUAGAACACUGCUGCACAGCAGCUGCAGAAACCCAGAACACCAUACAGCUCCAUGAGCAGCCAUUACUUCCGGCGGGAUCAGAGGGGCGGAACCACCACUUCUGGGUUUGAUUUCAGGCGAGUGGAGGGGCGGUCGUGUCACAUCCCGGCCCGGGGCGGAUCACUUCCCGGGCCCGCUCCACCACCGUAGCACGAUAUUGUCCGCUUUGGGCCCCGACCACGCCCUCACGGUUUUGUUUCUGGGAACUCACGAGCAACUUCCCAGUGGGUCACCCAUCCUGGGAGUGCUCUGGCCUCCUACUCGCUUAACUUCGGAGUUCCGACGGAACCCGAAGCCAGUGAGCUCCCAAAAGGCCUCGUGCUAGAUAGGGAUGGGAAUAUACAUUUAAGGAUCGCUCCCCUGGGUGAUGUGGGAUGUUACAAUCCACCCCCCUUAGGGGCCCGACGUCCUCGUCGGCACACCACGGCCAGGGUUAGGCUCUGAUACCAAUUGUCACAUCCCGGCCCGGGGCGGAUCACUUCCCGGGCCCGCUCCACCACCGUAGCACGAUAUUGUCCGCUUUGGGCCCCGACCACGCCCUCACGGUUUUGUUUCUGGGAACUCACGAGCAACUUCCCAGUGGGUCACCCAUCCUGGGAGUGCUCUGGCCUCCUACUCGCUUAACUUCGGAGUUCCGACGGAACCCGAAGCCAGUGAGCUCCCAAAAGGCCUCGUGCUAGAUAGGGAUGGGAAUAUACAUUUAAGGAUCGCUCCCCUGGGUGAUGUGGGAUGUUACAGGUCGCCCCUCCUUGCCCCUCUGUAGCUUCGCCACUAUUAGGUCCCAUAGAGUUUUUCUCGCCUAUUUUCUCUCCCCAUUUCGAUAUUUUUUUAGGGUUUUAAGUUAAGUCCUUCCUCACCUUAGCCGGCUGUUUCUUCCCUUGAGUCCUCCCCUGGCUUCCUCUUCUGCUACCUCUCUCCCCGGUCCCAACACCACUCAUUUUGUGAAAGUCACCAAAUCAAAUUACUCAGUUUGGCUUCCGUCAGGUCAUAUGCCCUUUCUCGUCGACCAUGACCUCUGAAAGUUUGUUGAUGAAACUCAUCUUAACUAUAUAAUUUUUUGUAACCUUCCUCUUUAUAAACUUUGUAUACAUGUUUAUUCAAAGAAAUUAUAUUUUUGUCAUUUAGUACCACGUUCUAGCGGUAUUCCUCAACACUUAUAAGUGAGAGGUCUUAGGUUCGAUUCUCACCAAAUACGAGUUUGAACCACAUUAUUGCUAGCUCAUUAUGAGACUAAGCUCACCCUCCCUCUUUCCCUUAAUGUAGAUAAUAUCGUUUGUUCGAAAAAUAAAUCAUAUUUCUGCACAUAUGAUCAUGAGAAAUACUCCUAUCCUUAUUCCUUUUUAUUUGGGUUUGAUGGGGUUCUAAAGGCCCAAAAAAUAAAAAGUAAAGAUCAUUGUAUAUUUUUUCAUUGAUUGAGUUGGUGAAAGUGCCCAAAAAGAAGGUAUAAGGGUUUAGGAGUAACUAGGCCUUUGAAGAGCCCAUACUCUUGUCGGGUUUUUUGUGAGGGGUUGCAGGUGUCCUCUAGUUAAAACUAGAUUAAACAUACAAUACGAGUUGAUCAAAGGUGACCCACUACUGUAACAACGAAAGUGGUACCAAAUAUUAAUAAUGCUCUUUAAUUUUGAUCUAUUAGUACCAAAAUAUCAACGUUAUUUCGCCGACGUCGUUUACAUUUCCAACUCUUCCACUCUCACUCUCUCUUUCUCUUCAUCCCAGAUUGUAAAUUGAUCAGUUCCCCCUCUCAAUUUUAUUUGUUGAAUUUAUAAGUUGAAACCCCAAAAGCCAAGAAAAACACUUUCCUCUGGAAAUCUCGCCCUCCAAUCUCGCUCUCGUUUUCAUAUUCGAAUCCAAAAAACAUACACACUCAAAAAAAGGAUAUACACUUUGAUUGGAAUGUUGAUACGCGCUACUUGUACAAGUGAAUCUAAAAAAAAAAUUAGUGCAUAUAAGAAGCAAACAUCAUGUUAAACACGUAUUAAGUAUGAUAUGUUUUUAGAAUUUUUAAGUAUGAUGUGUUUAUUAGAAAUUUUAAUGGACUUGUGUACAAAUGCUUCUCAUCUUUUAGGAUCGUUAUGGUAUAAGUUAGCAAAAAUUUAGGGAUUUUUAGUAGUGAAGAAUUUAGGAUCAUUAUGGGGCAUCAUCUCUGAUUAUAGCAGUGAUAGGUCUUGUAAUUUGGGUAAAAAAUAAAGUUUGGUAUAAUACACUGAGAAAUAUAUUCUAUGGCUUAAAUUGUGCCACUUGUCAAAGGAUUGGAAUGUUAGUUACUCAAAUUCGUUAGUGAGCUGGUAUUAUCUACAAAUUAAUACAUACUAAAAAAAGGGGAUAUCACAAUCUUCAAUUCUACGUUGACGUAUUAACUUAAAUGAGAUUGAAACUUUACACUUCUUGGAGCACUAUUUUGAUUCUCAUCAAGGUUGAUCACUCUAAUGAAGGGCCUUCCUCCUUUGUGUGCAUGCUCCAUCUCUAAAGACCAAGAACACCCUUCAUAGAUUUUCGGUUGCACCUAGCCUUGUCAAGAGUAGGUUGCCUACUUACUUCAUCUCCAACAAAGAUCAAACCGUCGUAUUUCAGCCUCAGAACUAACGUAAGGAUGGAGGAGGAGCAAGAGUGUUAAACUAGGACACACUCAAAAGAGAUGGAUGGCUUUGGAUGUGUUUAAUAAGUGAGACUAAAUCUUCUAGUGGAAGUUAUUACUCAGCAAUCUAUGGUGAUGUCCUAGUACUCAUUAUAUACAUGUUGGUGGCAGUGUUUUCACUCUUCUAGUUUUCUCUCUUGUCGAGACUUUGAGAGAAAACUCACUUUUGUAAACUCUCACAAUAUCUUCUUAGUUAGAGAGAAAAAUCACUCUUGAAAACUCUCACAAUUAUCUUAUUAGUUAGAGAAAAUGCAUGUGAGGAUGAGAGCUUCUAUCUCUCAUAAGAAUGAGUGGAAGACAACUCUCUCUUUUCAAGGAUGUUCAAGGAUGGGUGGAAGACAAACUCUUACACAUGUAUAGGAAGCUUGCAUGUGUAUAAAGCUUCUUGUGGAAGUUCUUACUCACCAAUCUUCCUCCACACACCACCACGUCAAGGCGAGUUGCCUUUAUCACCUUUUUGUCUAUCAUUCCCGUCCAAAAUGAGUAUUGGGUUAUUUUGGGCCACUAGUGACCUCCAAGUCAACUUAUAAUUCGAAAUAAGACCAAUGUGCUUGGGCCUUAUGGACCAGGCACCUCUCGAAACUAUUUCGAAGCGCAUUUUAGACAUAUAACCAUCAUAAUAAUUAAACAAUUUAAUUAAUUAUUUCACAAACUAAUUUAUCUAAUUGAUUAUAUUCAUCACAUUAAUCCCAGAAUAGGUUGUGCGAUCUUUUAAUUCUAUUGAUGAGGUUGUGAGAUGAAUUAGACUCUUCUAAUUCUUUUACCGGAUUUAAAGCUCAUCUUUUAAUCUACCUCUUUGUGAAGACAACAAUGAUCGUUUUCGAGUAUUUCAUAGACCAUAAGAGACGCAUAGCCGCAUGCCAUGGUCUCCUAGUCAAUGUACUAUUCACGAGAGAACCUAUUAUGUUGUAAUUACGAUGCAAUACAAUUAUUCUCUAAUACAAUGCUCUCGCUCACAUUGAUUAGGGUAUUCAUGUCAAUUGCUUAAGUGAUCAACUCAUGAUCCAACUCAAUAGAUUUGGAACUUUAUUCCAAAUCAUGAUGAUAUGGUCAAAGACUUCUGAAUCAUGUUGAUGAGCAUUCUCCUUUAAUUGUUAAGGUUAGAGAUUCCUUAUUGUACAUUCACUUACCUCCCUGAUUAGGUAUCUUAACCCCAAUAAUGUCGCAAACACCCUCUCACACUAGACUGUCUUUAAUAUAAUCUAUGAUUAAGGACCUAAAAACAAGACAAAUGUGAUGCCUCAAGUUCAAGGACCAAUUUGCAUUAUUGCAACAAUCGAUUUCUUAUUGACAUGAACAUGUAUCUGGUAUACAUACAUAAGAUCUUGAGGCGAUCACAUUUAGUGAACUUAAUCUUUAUUAAGCACUUACACAUUUGUCUUAGCGACUUCCUCUAAUGGCUUGAGAAUAGUCAUGCAUCUCGUUCUACAAUACUAUAGACAUAGUGUGUACUAGCCUUAUCGGAUUAUAAGAUGUCCACCGAAAUAGUCUAACGACUAGGAACAUAUGAAGAUGGUCUCUUUAACAUUAUCUCAUAAUUAAUUUACCUCUUACAUGUGUUAUCCAUGGACUCACUAAUGAGAUUACAUUGAUAAUCUACCUAUAGUGGUCUUGCCCAAUAAUUAGAUUAUGGACUAAUCCCUGUAUUCACUAAAGAUUUGAUUUUAGGGCAUAUAUCCAACAGUCAACUGCACCUAUAAAUAGUCUUCAUGUAGUUACUUCAUUAAGAAAGAAAUACCAGAUUAACGUACUCUAAAAUCCUUGUUAGUUUUCUUCUCUCUCUAGAUUUACAUACAUGUGGUACCAAAUUUUUUAGAAAUUUAAUUAGGCGCAAAUAUCAAAACGUCCAUAGGUUUCUUGUGAAUUCAAAAGUGAUAAACUUGAUUAAAAGAAGAAUAGUACUUGCAUUAUCCCGUUUGGAGAUAAGCUCACUCUCCCACUUGCAAAUAACAUAUUUUCACUGUAGAAAUUUCAUAAUCGAAACAACUUAAUUUCUUAAUCUUCAUAGUGAAGAUCAUCCAUACAAAUUAGCUUUGAUUUGGUCCCAAAAGGUCUUAUUUUUAAAGCUAGGCAUGCCCUUUUCAAAACCUCAGAAGUACCUUUCCUCUAAAAAUGCCAUCUUGAUCGUCAAAAUGCCCAAAAACAUCCAAAAAGGUCAAUUUGGGAAAGCCACGCAAUCAGCACUUAUUUCUUCACCAUGGUCAAAUGGCAUGAAGUAAAAAUCUGAAAUUUUGACACAAUCAUCUUGAAAGACUCAUGAACCCACUCCAAUUGGAAUUACUUCAAAAUUUCUUUGUUUGAUCACUAUUUACUCAAAAUGGAUUUGCAUGUCCUACAAAUAAAAUAAAGCACAAAAUGUAACUAAGAGUAGAGUAAAAUAUGGAUUAAUAUCGUCUCAUCAUGUGGAAAAAGUAAAAGAAGGAAACGACAUUUAAUCAAUAAAAGUGAUUGGAAAAUUAAUAAUUUACAGGUUAACAGGUUAUUUGUUGCUAGUAUAUACAUGGAUUCGAAGAAAACGACAAGAAAACAAUUAAGCCUCACUACAAUUUAGUUCACACAUGUGCAAGUUGCUAUUCAAAGGCCACUUUGUACAUUAUUUGCACAUUGUACACGAUUUAUUGAUCCUUUAUAUGUACGAUAACCGUGAAGAAGAAGAUAAUAAUAUCAUUAUUAACUUUAUGGUUUUAAAAGGCACUAGCCGAUGGUCGGAUGAAGAAGAAGAUAAUAAUAUCAUUAUUAACUUUAUGGUUUUAAACGCGAAAAACAAAGCAAUUUCUCUUUCUACUCAUUUCAAUCCCUCCCCGUCUGCUCGUGAACUCAGUAUAGAAUAACCUAGAAGCUCUUCUCUCUUUCCAUGGAAACCUCUAGUAAGUAGCAUGGCUAAUUUUUCCGAUGCGGACCCGAGAAUAGAAGCAGAUCAAUUAACAUGGUGAUUAAGAAAAACCCAUGUCUUAAUUAUGGAUUUCAGCUUCUGGGUUCGAACAAUUGGGUCUCUCGUUUAUGGUUACUCUUUGUUCUGUUUUUGGGUUUCAGGCGAAAGAGAAAAAGAAAGUUGUUUGGACCAUAAAUAAAAAUAAGACCUGCUACUCGACUAAUCUAUUUGUAUUUACAUAAAGUCGCAAGACUACGGUCUAUUAACUCCGAAAUCCAAUUUAGGAUCGUAUCCUGUGCUUUAGACAACCUCCUUAAAUCACUCCAACCCAUCCGAUGGCUCAGACAGGUUCCUCCUGGAAGUGCUUAUGCUACAUGGACGACCAAACUCGAGAAUAUCUUGCUUCUUUAAAGACCAAUGGACAUGUCAUCCAACAUGCUGAUGUCGUCGAAGUGAACUUGCGAAACGCCACAAGACACAUCUGAAUGCAGUGCUAACCAAGAAUUAUAGUCACUGCAACGCUAAAUACUCUAGCUCAGCGAUAAGAUCUAGGUUGCUCAAUCUCCAUUGUCUAUAAAUAGAGUCAGAGGCCUAGAAGCUUUGGACCUUCGUCAAAUUCAGUCUAUACGAUUAUAUAUACCUUGAGUGAUUUUUUCAAUCAACCCAACUAGUUUUAAAACAAACAUAAUUGCUCACCAUCUAUAGUCUCAAAGCCUUCACUUGAAGCAAACAUUGUCUAUGAUUCCUGAGAUUUAAAACCUUUAUAGAUCUACCACCCUAUGCUAUGAUUUGGUUGACGCGCAAUUCUAACCACCCUGAUUUUAUCUGCCACCAUGUAGAUUCCUCUAGCAUUAUCUCACUCUACACGGCCUGAAUCUAGCUAGAAUUUUACUACUUUAUUUACAUUUCUAGUCAAUUUACAUUUUAUGUCAUGUAGCUCGGCCCAUUGGCCUAGAGUUUACUUUUAUAAACGUUUGUAAUCUUAAUUUCAUCAUGAAAUGAAUUACAUUAUGUUUCUCGCAUUAGUUUCCAUUUCUCUUUUAUUUAUGUUUUAGCCAAAAACACACAAAGUUACACUGAAAUUUAAGUUCUCAUUCACUCGAGCUGCACAAACUUAACCGAACCAGUGUCCCACUCAAUGCACAAACAUUUAGUUAAAAAGUCAGAUUUGUGUGCAACUUAAACACACACUCAAACACAAACAUUGAAUGUUAGUAGCCUCCAACAGUGGCAUUGCAUAUUCUCUCUUUCUCUCGAGCCAUCCCUUGAUAGUGAAACCAAAAGCAACACUUGGAGCAAAUACAUGUUGAACCCACUAAAGGAGAGAGUGUUAAUCCAGCUUGCCAAGCUCCGCCUCUUCCUGCCUAACUCCACCUAACCCCUGCCUAAGCAGCCGCCUAAUAAACUUAUUUAGUGACCAAUUAAAGAUUAAUCGCAGUGACUAACCACCACCUAAACUACCUUUUAGAACACUACAUAAUUUAGCUUAUUGCGCAGAAUAUAUUUCUUCAUGUAUCCUACAAGGAAUUGUAUAAAAUCUUAGAUUUGUAGUUCAUUAAAAAUGAGUUGUGCUUUGAAAUUAUAUAAGUUAAAUAAUCUACUAAAAAAAAAGCCUUAGCUAGCGGCCUUUACAUAAUUAGCCAUGCUUUAUCUUUUGACCAUUUGUAAGGAUCAGGAUCCUCUCCUAAGCUUAAGAGGCUGAGUCUCCUGAGCAAAUCACAUGGCCCGUUGGAUCAAAAUCUAACAACUACAAUUAUUAUAACUUUUACAGAGAUCCCCUGUUUGUAGCUGUUGGAUUUUGAUUCAACGGCCAAUGUGAUUUGCUCAGGAGGCUUAGCCUCCUAAGCUCAGGAGAGGAUCCUGAUCCCAUUUGUAAGCUUGACUCUGCACACACGCAUCACAUUUAUAUAAAUAUAAAAAUAUACAUUUGUACAUAAGGGACCAAUGAAUGAUGUUUAUAUGUCCUAGUAUUCGGAAAAGGAUCGUCGCCGAAUCUUUUUCCUGGGGAUCCUAGGGAUCCAGUGAUCGUGAUUAUUCAUCGUACAUCGUGCCAUCAGAAAUCAUUUCAAAAUUUAAAAUUUAAAAUUAAAUAUAAAUAGUACUUAAUAAAAACUAACCGCACGAUGUACGAUGAAUGGUCACGAUCGUGAGAUCUCUAGGAUCCCCAGGAAAAUGAUCGAGCAGGGACCUUUUCCCCUAGUAUUCUACAAAGUGCUUGACCAAAAGACAACAUUGUACAAAGUGUGACCAAUGAGUAAUGUUUAUGUGUCCUAAUGUUGUACAAAGUGCUUGAUCGAAAGAAAAAAAUUUGUUCAAAGUGGCCCUUUUAGUAGCUAACAAGCAAGUGUACCUGCGCGUUGCUGCGGGGUUUAGAAAAUUGUUGAAAAUGUAGAAAGUGUAGAAAAUAUGUGUUAAGGAGUAGUGUUUAAUAUGUACAUUUAUUACAUUCGUGUGUUCCGAUGUUCUUUACAAAUAUAUAUAUAU